GAGCCAUACUCCUACGUUAGGCAGCAGUGAUGAAUAUUGGUCAAUUGGCUUACGCCUGAACCAGCCAAGUCGCUUUAGUGAUGACGGUCCUAUGGAUUGUAAACCUCUUUUGUCAGGGAGCAAAGGGCGCCACGUGUGGCGUUUUGCGAGUACCUGAAGAAAAAGCAUCGGCUAACUCCGUGCCAGCAGCCGCGGUAAUACGGAGGAUGCGAGCGUUAUCAGGAUUUAUUGGGUUUAAAGGGUGCGCAGGCGGAAUGUCAAGUCAGCGGUAAAAUUUCGGGGCUAAAACCAGUAGUGCCGUUGAAACUGGCGUUAUUGAGUGAGAGAGAAGUAUGAGGAAUGCGUGGUGUAGAGGUGAAAUGAAUAGAUAUAAAGAAGAACUCCGAUUGCGAAGGAAGAAUAACGGCGAUAAACUGAAGAUCAUGAAAGAAAGAGUGGGUAUCGAAAAGGAUUAGAUACAAUCGUAU
rnacentral:rRNA from 1 species